UUGUGCUAGGCGGGGAGCUAGCGGUGCCCUUUUCCCGAAAUCCGCUCCAUGCGGGGCUGAAUCCCCUUUUUAGGGUUUUAUCCCGAAAGUGCCGAAUGCCCGGACCGAACACCGCGCAACAAACGCUCACGAAUCUCGUCAGGUCCGGAAGGAAGCAGCGAUAAGUGAUGCCGUCUGUGUCGUGGUCUUAUUCCGGUUCUUCGGGCCGUUCGCAUCUGACGGGGGAAACUCGAUAAAGGGUGCACAA
rnacentral:SRP_RNA from 1 species